rnacentral:tRNA from 1 species
UGUAGCUCAGUGGUAGAGCCCAUGCCUAACCUGUAUGAGGCCCUGGGUUUGAUCCCCAGUA